UACGUAGGUGGCGAGCGUUGUCCGGAUUUACUGGGCGUAAAGGGAGCGUAGGCGGACUUUUAAGUGAGAUGUGAAAUACCCGGGCUCAACUUGGGUGCUACAUUUCAAACUGGAAGUCUAGAGUGCAGGAGAGGAGAAUGGAAUUCCUAGUGUAGCGGUGAAACGCGUAGAGAUUAGGAAGAACACCAGUGGCGAAGGCGAUUCUCUGGACUGUAACUGACGCUGAGGCUCGAAAGCGUGGGGAGCAAACAGGAUUAGAUACCCCUGUAGU
rnacentral:rRNA from 1 species